CCUACGGGUGGCAGCAGUGGGGAAUAUUGGACAAUGGGGGCAACCCUGAUCCAGCCAUGCCGCGUGUGUGAAGAAGGCCCGCGGGUUGUAAAGCACUUUCAGUGAGGAAGAACGCCUGGUGGUUAAUACCCAUCAGGAAAGACAUCACUCACAGAAGAAGCACCGGCUAACUCCGUGCCAGCAGCCGCGGUAAUACGGAGGGUGCGAGCGUUAAUCGGAAUUACUGGGCGUAAAGCGCGCGUAGGUGGCUUGAUAAGCCGGUUGUGAAAGCCCCGGGCUCAACCUGGGAACGGCAUCCGGAACUGUCAAGCUAGAGUGCAGGAGAGGAAGGUAGAAUUCCCGGUGUAGCGGUGAAAUGCGUAGAGAUCGGGAGGAAUACCAGUGGCGAAGGCGGCCUUCUGGACUGACACUGACACUGAGGUGCGAAAGCGUGGGUAGCAAACAGGAUUAGAUACCCCUGUAGUC
rnacentral:rRNA from 1 species